GAUGAACGCUGACAGAAUGCUUAACACAUGCAAGUCUUUGGCGAAGCUGUGCUUGCACAGCCUAGCCAAGGCGGACGGGUGAGUAACGCGUAAGGAACUUGCCCUGCAGUCAGGGAUAACAGACGGAAACGACUGAUAAGACCUGGUAAAGUCAGGCGGACUCAUGUCCAGCCUGAUGAAAAGAGAUGCUGCAGGAGAGCCUUGCGUCCUAUUAGCUUGUUGGUGGGGUAACGGCCCACCAAGGCGAUGAUAGGUAGCCGGCCUGAGAGGGUGGACGGCCACAAGGGGACUGAGAUACGGCCCUUACUCCUACGGGAGGCAGCAGUGGGGAAUAUUGGACAAUGGGGGCAACCCUGAUCCAGCAAUUCUGUGUGCACGAUGAAGGUUUUCGGAUUGUAAAGUGCUUUCAGCAGGGAAGAAAAAAAUGACGGUACCUGCAGAAGAAGCGACGGCUAAAUACGUGCCAGCAGCCGCGGUAAUACGUAUGUCGCAAGCGUUAUCCGGAAUUAUUGGGCAUAAAGGGCAUCUAGGCGGCCAGAUAAGUCUGGGGUGAAAACUUGCGGCUCAACCGCAAGCCUGCCCUGGAAACUAUGUGGCUAGAGUACUGGAGAGGUGGACGGAACUGCACGAGUAGAGGUGAAAUUCGUAGAUAUGUGCAGGAAUGCCGAUGAUGAAGAUAGUUCACUGGACGGUAACUGACGCUGAAGUGCGAAGGCUAGGGGAGCAAACAGG
rnacentral:rRNA from 1 species